CAAAACCUCAAAUAGCCUCAAAUGCCUCAGUUCUAUAAACAAUGUCGUAGUCUAGAUGCAUCAAAGUUCCCUAAGGAUCUCAAGGAUCUCGGGCAGUGCUUACACCUACACUUGGUAACAAAAAUUUAAUAAGUGCAGUGUGAAAGAGCCAACCUCAAUAUGUCAGAGUUCAGAGUGUCUCAAGAGGAUCCCAAGGCAGUACAUAUACUGGAGGGGGCAGAACUUAAUGACUUAGGAGUAGCGUGAAAGUGCUUGACACAAGUUGAAAGGUUUCAGCAGGAAAACAACAUAAAAAGGAGGUUUGUCGGAAAUAGCUGGUGGAGUAAAAGAAGGAGUCAUGCAGUAAAACAAUUUUGAAAAGAGAGUUGCAUGAUUAGACAAUAGUAAAUCAAACAUGAAGUCUAAAACCACAUCAGCAAUACUUAAAGAGCACAGAACCAAACAUAAGGAACAAACCUACAUACAGGGGUGAUAAGAAUUGGGGAUACAUGGAACACAUGAUGGUAAACAUAUAACAGGCAGAUGUAAUUGGUACAGACAUGCUCAGAAAUAAUUGAUCAGACAUAGAGAGGGUAAAAUGUUUACACUAAUCCUAAGGAAGGGGAGUACUUGACAUGCUAAUUAGGUAAUCAUAUUAAAGGCAGGUUUCACAGCAAAACCAUAAGUAAAAGCAAACUAGAAACAUGAUGAAAUGAAGCAAUAAAAGAACCAUAAUGUUUUUGGAACUCGAACUGAAAUUAGAACAUACCAGUAAAGAAGACAGUAAGCAAGAGUGAAUGAGUAGGAGAGCACAAUAGUUAGCCUUGACUUGCAGCCGGCUAACUCAGAAUUGUAGCAAGUAGCACAAAAGAGAGAGAGCAAAAGGUUUAAGUGUGUGUGUGUAAGAGAGAGAGAUUAAGGAAUUAGGGCUAAUAAGUAUGGGGUAAGCAAUUAGGUCUAAGUUUAGAAUACUCUUAAUUAAGGAAAUAGUCGGUAAGAAUAAAGUACAGCAACAGACAAGGUAGGUGAAUCAGUUAAUUAGAAUAGAAGAUGUAGAGAUUGAGGGUUUAAAGGAAGGUCUUUCAAUCAAACCCAAAAAAUAGGGAAUCCAGAAUCAAUCAAAGAGGGAGUCAUUGUUCUGUAUUAAUCAUAUAAAUAGAGAAGAUAAGAAUAAACAGACAUAGCAAACAUGCAGGUUAAACAGUAUCGAUAGAAAGAGGCAAGUAUGAACAAUCAUGAUGAACAUAAGCACAUAGAGGUGAUAUAAGUUAGCUAAAAACUUAGUAAGAACAUAUUCGAAGCAAUAUAGUCACAGAAACUCAAACAAGAAACGAGAAGUCAUGCUAAUACACAGAACCAAAUGAAGAAGUCUAGUAAAUUAGGGCUUUCAGCAUAGGCGAGUUGAAUAGGUAGUAAAAUCACAGAAUCAGUCGAAAUAUGCAAGAGAUGGAAGUUUAAACAUAAGAAAUCAGUUUAAACAAAGUUUUAAAAGGAGUUCAGAAAACCCUAAUUUUAGAAGAAGGUGAAAACCCUUUGAAAUCGAUGAUUCUUGUAAAAGAGUUCCAAGAACAGUGUAAACUACUAAAGAGGCAAACACAAAUCAUUUUAAAAUUCUACAUAUCUAGAAUAUGUAGGUAGAAAUUAGGGUUUUAGAAGAAACUCAAAUAGAGAUGAAAGAACAUGUCUAGAAUCCCAAGGAUUGUAACAAGCACAACAUGAUUUUGCUUGAAGUCACACUGAAGUAGCCAAGAACAGACAAAUAGCAAACCCUAGACACAAGUUGGCAUGGCCCAGGGCCCUUAAAGACCUUAGAGAAGGCAAGCAUAACAUUAGAGGAGCCAUUAGAGGCUUGCGAGUUGAAGGGAGAUCACCGGAGAAGACCGGAGAAGGAGGUCGGCGGUUGAAGGAGCUAGGGUUAGGUUGAGUGAUUGAGAGAGGAUAGGAGAUGAGAGAAUACAUAGGCGGCGGUAUCUGAAUAAUGAGCUAGGGUUAGGGGUCGUUGGAAUUAAAAAUGGUAAGAACGGACGAGGACCAUUGAUUUUUUAGAUCAACGACUAGGAUUAAAUAUGGAUUUGGGUCGGGUAGGCGAGUUCAAGGCUUGGGUCGGGUAUUUUUAAUACGAAAUUGGGCUGGGGUUGGGUUUAAAUUGGUCUACGAUUGAAAUGCAAAUCUGGCUAUAUUUUAAAUAGCCAAUUUUCCCUAAAUAAUAAAUUAUAAAUAAGAAAUAAUUUUUGGAAAAUAAUUUUGUGUACUAAAAUGAUUUAAAAUAGACAUUUAACAUUUUAAAAAUAUAGGAGAUCAAUUUUACGCAUAUAAAUAUAAUUAUACAUUAAUGGGACUAAUAUUGCAGUUAUAUGCAAUUUAGCUUUAAAAAUACAAAAUGCAAUUAUAAAAUGCAUAAAACAUGUUUUAACCAUAUUUGGCAUAAAUAUAAAAAUUAAAUGACUAAAUCACCACAACACUAAUUUGAGGGAUAGUUAUUGGGGAUUUUAUGAAAUAAAGGGAAGGAAAUAAAUCAAUUUAAAUCCUUAAUAUUAUGGGAAAAUUAUAAAAACCUUGUGCAUGCUUAUAUAUACUUAUAUAUAUAUAUAUAUAUAUAUGCUAUUUUGAAAGUAUUUAUACAUAUAAAAAGUAUAGUAAAAAAUUGGAUAUCAAUGGAUGUUGCACCCUGAAGUAUUGUACGCUAAAUUUGUCGUAAGGUAAUUGACAUCAGUCCAAGUAAAAAAUUAUUUGGAGAUUAUAAGGAUUAUGCUAUUUCACAAGUUAUUGAUAAAUUUAUGAAGGUUAAAAGGCGGAGUAAGUCAAAGAAAAUGAAUUAUCCAAGUUUGGCAUUUUGGGGUAAAAUACAGCUCGAGCUAAAAUACCCGGUAUUUAUGGACUAGUAUCAUACGAGUUACCAUAUAACCAUAAUAGUAAGGUGUAUAAGGUAUGUGAAAAGUGAGUAAUAUUUUAAGUAAGUGAGAAUAAUUCUCAAUUUUGCGGGUAAUUAAUUAAUUGCCGGGUAACGAGACAUUACCUAAUUAAUUGGGGAUAUAUUUGGAUAAGAUUAAACCCCACCCCACCCCACCUCACGUGGUAGCAAAUGAAGGAACACUUAAGUGACUUGUCUUUAUACAAGCUAACUAUUGGGCACAUGGACAACAAAUCUUAAGGAAAUUUUACACGUAAGAAAUGAUUAUCUUAGCCAUCUUUAUCUUGUCUUUCAAGACUAUCCAAUUCAUUUUAUGACAAGGAAAUAUAAUGAAAGGAACAACAUGGAACAAAGUUAGGGAAUUCAUGAAGUUAAUAUGAUACUUUUCGUUACAUUACCUAUAACAAUUCUAAAAUUUACAACGAAAUUCAUACGAGACUUCUCAGCGUAGUAGCAACGGAAUUUUGCGAUUCUAAGGGAGCACAGUAUAAUUUUUCUCAAGAAUAUCAUAAAGAUUUUUCUCUACACUAGUCCGCGGUUAUGUGUUGUUGCAAUCAAUGAGUGUUAAAGGAAUUGUCAAGAGAAUCGAUUCAGGUAUGUUAAGGCUAUCCUUUCUUUCUUUUGGCAUGAUCCAUACGAUACGAGUGAAACGUGCAAAUGCACAAAUUCCAUAAAUGACUCUAUCCAUAGAAGUGUUAGAGAUAUCUAUGUUCUUGAAUUUCCAUAUAUAAUAAUAUUUUAUCAUCUGUUCAUGGGUCUCAGAAAAAUACGAAAGUUGAAACGAGCUUACUUUAUUAUAUUACUCAAAGGCAAAAUGGUCUUAUGACAUUUCGAAAGAUUUUAUUAACGUACUUUUCAUGCAUUGCCUUCAUGUACAUUGACCCGUGACCAUAUGGAGUUAUAUACACAUAUAUAUGCAUGUAUAUAUAUAUGUAUAUGGGAUAUGGGAAAGGUUAUGGUGUUAUAUACGCACCACCACCUGAUCAGUUGAUAUACGUUGAUGAUUUUGCCCACAGUAGCCAAGAUGAUAUGAUGGUAUGUCCUAAGAGGCUGAUGAUGGUAUGAAACAUGUACCUAUGCACGACAUGACAUUCAUACAUAUAUGCACGAUACUAUAAUUAUUUCAUGAUUUUACAAAGUUAUUCAGACUUACAGGUUGAGUCAUGUACUCCAUAUUUCUUCCAUGUCUGUUAUGUACUUGUUUAUGUACCUUACAUACUCGGUAUAUUUUUGUACUAACAUCACUUUUGCUUGGGGAUGCUGCAUUUCAUGCUCGCAAGUUCCGAUAGAUAGGUCGAGAGCCCUCCAAGUACGCUAUCAACUCAGCGGAAGAUGUUGGUGCGCUCCAUUUGCUUCAAAGUUGCUUGUUUGGUCAGUAUGAUUUAAACGUGUAUUGUUUGGUAUGGGGGGACUCUGUCCCGACCUUUAUGACAUUUAUAUACUCUUAGAGUUUUGUAGACAUAUGUCGUGUACGUGAAAAUUAUACGGCCUUGUCGGCCUAUGUUUUGAGUUUAAGAAUGAUUAUGUUGGCCUAUUAGGCCCGUAUGUCACGUGUGUAUGAUGAUGUAAUAAGAAAUAUAUGCUAUGUUUGUGCUCUGUUGAGUAAGGUACGGGGUGCCCGUCCCGCCCCAUUGGUUUGGGUCGUGACAUGUUUGGAACCUUAAGGGCUUUUUACUACAAGUAAAAUCACUGUUUAGACUUAAUAUUUGUACUCAGUCUUGUUGUAUUUUACUAAUUUCAUAACUCAGACGUAUUUACUCAGUUUUGCUACUUUAAAUGAUAUUCUGGGUAAGCAUCCUGUUUUAUUAUUGCCCAAGUGUCUUGAGAAGUUUCCGACUGAGUGAGGACGAGGGCCUGUGUUGUGAUGAUAUCAUGGGAUCGGGCUGUGCGCUGUAGUAUGUUAUACUGAUUUGUGAUAUAUGAGAGUUUGAUGGCCUGAUUUAACAUUCUAUAAGAUGGAUUGUGAUAGUGCUUGGGUUGUAGGAGACCUUCCGGAGUCUGAACAACCCCAGUGAGCGCGGGUACCCCGUGUGAGUGAUGUGAUGUAGCCCGAGGGGCUAUUGUUGAUUCAUAUUGUUGCCUGAGGGUCUGAUUAUGAGUGACUAUGACGUAGCCCGAGGGGCUAGUUCUAUUGAUAUUUUGCUCAAGGGGCUAUUUAUGGUACAUGUUUUGCCCUAGGGAGACAAGAGGGGUUACUCUGAUGGUAAGCAACCCCCACUUCCAACCGAGAGGUUGUGAGUUCGAGUCUCCCCAAGAGCAAGGUGGGAAGUUCUUGGAGGGAAGGAUGCCGGGGGUCUAUUUGGAAACAGUCUCUCUACCCUAGGGUAGGGGUAAGGUCUGCGUACACACUACCCUCCCCAGACCACACUAAGUGGGAUUAUACUGGGUUGUUGUUGUUGUUGUUGUUUUGCCUUAGGGACAGUUUAUGUUUUUAUCAUUUUUACUAACUGUUUCCCCACUUAUUUGAAACUAUUAAAAGGUGUUUUUAAAAGAAAAAGAUUUUACCGAAAUUGAGUUAUUUUUAUAAGUUAAUUGAUUUUUGUAUUGUUUUGGACAAAUACUAUUUUGUUGUAGUGUUAUGACAUGGAAUUACCUGUUUUCUUACUGCUCAGCUGCUUUUACUUUUAUUACUUACUGGGUUGGCGUACUCACAUUACUCCCUACACCUUGUGUACAGAUCCAGGAGUCUCGGGAUGCGAUAGUGACUGCUGGUCAGUCUUCCAGCAAGUCUCCAGAUUUGGCUAGGUAGCUACUUGGCGUUUGCAGCCCUGCACUUCUCCUUCUUACCUUACUCAGACAGUCUUAGUAUUUUAUUUUCGGAGUAUGUUAGUCUUUUUGUACUUAGACGGGUUUGUAGUUGCUCAUGACUGGUGACACCCUGAUGUUGGGCUUGUAUAUUUAUUCCGCACUGGUUAUUUAGACUUAUAUUAUGAGAUUUCUUGUUAAUUAAUGGAUUAAAAAUGACUUUUAUAGAAUAAUGGUUUGAUUCGAAAAUUGUGUCGGCCGGCCUAGUUUCACGAUAGGCGCCAUCAUGACCGGGCCGGUUUUAGGGUCGUGACAAGUUGGUAUCAGAGCCUAGGUUAUAUAGGUCUCACAAGUCAUGAGCAGGUUUAGUAGAAUCUCGCAGAUCGGUGUGGAGACAUUUGUACUUAUCCUCGGGAGGCUACAGAACCUUUAGGAAAAACUUCACAUUCAUAAAUUCCUGUCGUGCGAAUCUGUUGAUUCUGGUAACUAAACUUCUGUUAUUCUAUUCUCUCACAGAUGGUGAGGACACGUGCUACUGCUCAGGGUGGACAACCACCAGUACCACCGAUUGGGGCCACUAGAAGCUGAGAACAUGGUUGAGGCUUUGGUAGGGGAAGGGGUGUAGCCCGCAUAGUAGCUAGGGCAGCUCCUGCAGAUCCACCAGCUACCCCAGUUCAGGAUUAGGUACCAGUUGCGGAUGCUCCAGCAGUACCAGCUCAGGCACCGGCUGUGCCUAUUAUUAUCCCAGGCCUUCAGGAGGACUUGGCCAAAUUCUAUUAGUGUGCACUGGCCUAGCCCAAGUGGUCUCAUUUACUAAAGCCGCAUCUACUUCUCAGGCUGGGGGAGGCACUCAGACUCCCGCUGCUCGCACACUUGAGUAGGUUGUGUAGGGACUUCAGACACCGAGGAACCUCCAGCCCAGCCGGUUGCAGCUGGUCAGGACUAUAUAUCUCCUGUUAUGCUAGAGGACGAGCAACGCAGAUUGGAGAGGUUUGGUAGACCUCAGCCUCUAUCUUUCAAUGGUGCAGAGGACGAGGAUGCCAUGGGUUUCUUGGACAAGUGUUAGAGGAUGCUUCGGACCGCGGGUAUUUUGGAGACCAGUGGGGUCUUGUUCACUACUUUCCAGUUCUCCAGGGCUGCACUUAGUUGGUGGGAGGCUUAUGAGAGGAGUAGGCCAGUUGGCGCAAUGCCCGUUUCUUGGCAAUAGUUCUUCGUUCUCUUUUUGGAGAAGUUUGUACCUGAGUCUCGCCGAGAGGAUCUAUGUAGGAAGUUCGAGUAGCUUCAUUAGGGUGAUAGAUCUAUCACACAAUAUGAGAUCCGGUUCUCUGAUUUUUCUCGUCAUGCAGUUUGGUUGGUUCCCAUAGACCGAGAGAGGAUCAGGAGGUUUAUAGAUGGCCUCGGUUUUCAAUUUCGGCUGCUCAUGACCAGAGAGAGAGUAUCUGGUGCUACCUUUGAUGGGUUGUUGACAUAGCUGGACAAAUUGAGAUGGUUCGUGGUUAAGAGAGGUUUGAGAGUGAGGCUAAGAGGCCUCGUGGUCAGGGUGGAUUCAGUGGUACUCCUCGCGGAAGUUAAUUUCAACACGACAGAGAUCGUCCAUUCAUGCAUGCUCAGUCAGCUCGCCCAGGUUACCGUGGGGCAUCAUCAGGCCAUUGUUCUCACAAUUCUCAUUAGGGUCAUUCCUUACUGAGUGCCUUUCCAGCCCAGAGUUUGUCCUGUGCUUCAUCAGUUCAGGGCUCUUCCAUGCCAGGUUCUUCUACUAGUCAUCCAGGUGCUAGGGGUUACCUUUAGUUCCCGUCUCCAGUACCAGGGGGUUGUUAUGAGUGUGGAGAGUUGGGGCAUAUGUGGAGACUGUAUCCUCAUCAUCUUGGGGGUUCAUCUCAGUAGAUGAGUCACCUAUCGACUUCAGCACCAGUUACCUCACUAUCUACCCACCCAGCUAGGGGUGGAGGAUAGUCAGCUAGGGGUCGCCCUAAAGAGGGAGGUUGAUCAGGUGGUGGUCAGGCCUUUUUCUAUGCACCCCCAGCAAUACUCGAUGUUAUUGCUUUAGAUGCGGUGAUUACAAGUAUUUUCUUGGUCUGCCACAGAGAGGCCUCUAUGUUAUUUGAUCCUGGUUCCACUUUUUCAUAUGUGUCAUCAUAUUAUGCUUGUUAUUUGGAUACGCCCCGUGAGUCUCUUGUUUCAUUUAUUUGUGUAUCUACUCUAGUGGGUGAUACUGUUGUUUUUGACCGUGUAUAUCAGUCGUGUGUGGUGACUAUUGGGUGUUUGGAGACCCGAGUGAACCUUCUGUUGCUUUGUAUGGUUGAUAUUGAUGUGAUAUUGGUCAUGGAUUGGUUAUCUUCGGAUCGUGCUAUUUUGGGUUGUCAUGCUAAGAGUCGGGUGUGUCACGGGUUGAGUGGCGAGGUUCGACUAAUUUUGUUCCCAGUAGGGUAAUUUCAUUUUUGAAGGCCCAGCGGAUGGUUGGAAAGGGGUUUCUUUCAUACUUAGUCUUUGUGAUGGAUGUCAGUGUAGAGACUCCUAAUAUUGAUUCAGUCCCGAAAGUGAGGGACUUUCUGGAUGUGUUUCCUGCGGACCUAUCGGGUAUGCCACCGGACAGGGAUAUUGAUUUUGGUAUUGAUUUGGUGUCGGGCUCUCAGCCCAUUUUUAUUCCACCAUAUCGUAUGGCACUGGAGGAGUUGAAGGAGUUGAAGGAGCAGCUUUAGGAACUCCUUGGUAAGGGGUUUAUUCGGCCUAGUAUGUCACCAUGGGGUGCGCCUGUUCUAUUGUAAAUAAGAAGCAUGGCACUAUGAGGAUGUGCAUUGAUUACAGGGAGUUGAACAAGGUCACAAUCAAGAACAAGUAUCAUUUGCCUCGUAUUGAUGAUUUAUUUGGCCAGCUUUAGGGAGCGAGGGUGUUCUCCAGGAUUAAUCUCUGUUCAGGGUAUCACCAGUUGAAGAUUAGGGACUCGGACAUUCGUAAGAUAGCCUUCAAGACCCGAUAUUGUCAUUAUGAGUUCAUUAUAAUGUCUUUUGGGCCGACCAAUGACCCAACAACAUUCAUGCAUUUGUUGAACAACAUGUUUCGGUGUUAUCUCGACUCAUUUGUCAUUGUAUUCAUUGAUGAUAUUCUGGUGUACUCGCGUAGACAGGAGGAGCACGCGAAACAUUUGAGAGUGGUAUUGCAGUGAUUGAGGGAGGAGAAGCUUUAUGUAAAGUUCUCCAAGUGUAAGUUUUGGCUCAACUCAGUGGCUUUCUUGGGGCACAUGGUGUCCAGUGAGGGUAUUCAGGUUGAUCCGAAGAAGAUAGAGGCAGUCCAUAGUUGGUCCAAACCGUCCUUCGCCACAAAAAUUCACAGAUUUCUUGAUUUGAUGAGUUAUUACUGUCGGUUCAUUCAGGGAUUUUCAUCUAUUGCAUCACCCUUGACCAAAUUGACUCAAAAGGGUGCUCCAUUCAGGUGGUCGGAUGAUUGUCAGGCGAGCUUUCAGAAGCUCAAGACUACCUUGACCAUAGCUUCAGUGUUUGUUUUGCCAUCAGCUUCAGGUUCAUAUACAGUGUAUUGUGAUGCUUUGAGAGUCGAUAUUGGGUGUGUGUUGAUACAUGAGGGUAGAGUGAUUGCUUAUGCUUCCCUUCAGUUGAAGUCCCAUGAGAAGAACUACCAUGUUCAUGAUUUAGAGUUGGCUACCAUUGUUAACGCGUUGAAGAUUUGGAGGCAUUAUCUUUAUGGUGUGUCUUGUGAGGUGUUUAUUGAUCAUCGUAGCCUGCAACACUUGUUCAAGCAGAAGGAUCUCAAUUUGAGGCAACAAAGAUGGUUGGAGUUGCUAAAGGACUAUGAUAUCUCUAUCUUGUACCAUAUGGGGAAGACCAAUGUAGUGGCCGAUGCUUUGAGUAGGAAGGCGGUGAGUAUGGGCAGUUUGGCAUAUAUUCCUGUUGGGGAGAGACCUCUUGCUUGAUGUUUAGGCCUUGGCCAAUCGGUUUGUAAGGUUAGCUAUUUCGGAGCCCAGUUGGGUCUUAGCUUGUAUGGUUUCUUGGUCUUCCUCGUUUGAUCGCAUAAGAGAAUGCCAGUAUGAUGAUCCUUAUUUGGUUGUCCGUGAGGACAGAGUUCAGCACUAAGACACCAAAAAUGUGACUAUUGAUGAUAAUAGGGUAUGGAGGAUGCAUAGCUGGAUAUUUGUGCCCAAUGUAGAUGGGCUUCGGGAGUUGAUUCUGGAUGAGGCCCAUAGCUCGAGGUAUUCCAUCCAUCCUGGUGUCGCAAAGAUGUAUCAGGAUCUGAGACAACAUUAUUGGUGGAGGAGAAUGGAAAAGGAUAUUAUGGAUUUAUAGCUCAGUGUCUCAAUUGUCAGCAGGUGAAAAUGAGCGUCAAAGACUGUGUGGCUUGCUGCAGCAGAUAGAUAUUCCAUAGUGUAAGUGGGAGCAGAUCACCAUGGACUUUGUAGUUUGACUCCCAUGGACUUUGAAGAAGUUUGAUGCUAUUUGGGUGAUUGUGGAUUAGCUGACCAAGUCCGCACACUUCAUUCCUGUGUGUACUACCUAUUCUUCAGAGUGGUUAGCAAAGAUAUAUAUCCGAGAGAUUGUUUGUUUGGAUGGUGUCCCAGUUUCCAUCAUUUCAGAUAGAGGUACUCAGUUCACUUUAUAGUUUUGGAGGGACGUGCAGCGCGAGUUGGGUACCCAGGUUGAGUUGAGCACAGCUUUUCACCCUCAGAUGGACGGUCAGUCCGAGCGCACUAUUCAGAUAUUGGAGGACAUGUUGCGCAGUUGUGUUAUUGAUUUUGGGGGUUCGUGGGAUCAGUUUCUACCGCUCGCGGAGUUUGUUUAUAACAACAGUUAUCAGUCGAGUAUUCAGAUGGCUCCUAAUGAGGCUUUAUAUGGGAGACAGUGUAGAUCUCCAGUUGGUUGGUUUGAGAUGGGUGAGGCUAGGCUUUUGGGUACCGACUUGGUGCAGGAUGAUUUGGAUAAGGUGAAGGUUAUUUAGGAGUGGCUUCGUACAGCGCUGUCAAGACAAAAGAGUUAUGGUGAUAGGAAGGUUCGUGAUGUGUCCUACAUAGUUGGGGAGAAGGUUCUAUUGAAGUUUUCACCCGUGAAGAGUGUUAUGAGAUUUGGGAAGAAGGGUAAAUUGAGUCUCCGAUUCAUUGGGCCUUUUGAGGUGAUUCGGAGGAUUGGGGAGGUGGCUUUGCCACCUAGCUUGUCGAGUGUGCAUUCGGUAUUUCAUGGAUCUAGGCUAUGGAAGUAUAUUGGCGAUCCUUCUCAUGUUUUAGAUUUCAGCACAAUUCAGUUAGACGAUGAUUUGACUUAUGAUGUGGAGCCAAUGGCUAUUUUGGAGCGGCAUGUCCGAAAGUUUAGACCAAAGGAUAUAGCUUCAAUAAAAGUACAUGGAGAGGUCGGCCCGUGGAGGAUCCUACUUGGGAGACCAAGCAGGAGAUGCAGAGCAGAUAUUCUCACCUAUUUGAGGUUUCAGGUAUGUUACAUGACUCGUUCGAGGACAAACGUUUGUUUAAGAGGGGAAAAUGUAACGACCCGGCCAGUCGUUUCAUGAGUUACCACUCUGUUUCCACCAUUUCUACUUAUUUAUGUGUUGUUCAGCUACAUUUCAUCAUAUUGUGCUAGUUGGUUUAGGUUCAGAGUGGUUUUGUAAAGAAAUGAGACACUUAGUCUCUUUUUGGGAAGCUUUAGUUGGAAAAGUCAGCCGGAAGUUGAGUUGUGAGUAGAUGAUCUCGAAAUUUGGUUUUUAUUAUUCGGAUAGCUUCGUUAGGUGAUUUGUGACUUAGGAGCAUGAUCAGAAUGUAAUUUGGUGGUACGUGGUAGAUUUAGGCUUGAAUUGGCGAAAUUGGAAUUUUGGCGUUUUUCGGUUGGUAGUUAAAAUUUUGAUAUCAGAGUCGCAAUGGAAUUCCGGAAUUUGGAUUAGCUCUGUUGUGUCAUUUGUGAUGUGCAUAAAAAUUUUCAGGUCGUUCGGAUGAGGUUUGAUAGGUUUUUGGAUCAGUUGCUGAAUUCGAAAGUUUGUAAAUCCUUAGGCUUUGAAUCCGAGGGUGAUUUGGUGUUUCGGCGUUGUUUUGAGUGUUCCAAGGGUUGGUAUGAGUUUGAAUGAUGAUAUAUGACUUGUUGGCAUGUUUGGCUGAGGUCCCGAGAGCCUCGGGAUGGAUUCGGAAGGUUGGCGGAGGAUUUGGAAUUUGAGUGGAGUUGCAGAAUUUUUCUGCUUCUGUUGUUUCCGCACCUGCGGAUUGGGUACCGCAGGUGCGAUGAUGGAGAAGCGUAGUGGAGGUCGCAGAAGCGGUCUUUAGUCAGCUAGAGCUUGGCCGCAGGUGCGAGGUUAUAACUGCAGAUGCGACCUUAAGUGAAAAACCACUGGUGCGAUUAUUUUGACCGCAGAAGCGGUCCGCAUAUGUGAAAAGAGAGUCGCAGGUGCGUGAUGCCUGUGCAGAAAUUAUAAAAGGCCAUCUUUGCGAUUUUCAGCUUAUUUCCUCCAUUUUUGAGACGGGUUUGAAGCUUUUUGGGAGGAUUUGAAGAGGGAUUCAAGUGGUUACGAUUAGAGGUAAGAUUUUUGAACUCAAUACUUGAUUCUGUGGUGAUUCUAACUGAUUAGACAAGAAAUUUGUGGGAUUUACGCGUUAAAAUUUGAGAAUUAUGGCUUGUAAAUGGAGAGUUUUUAUUGGGGAUUUGAGUGGCCAUUUGAGGUCCGAUUUUGAUGUUCUUGGUAUGUAUAGACUCGUGGGAGGAUAAGGAUUCUAGUGAUAUAAUUUUUAUCGAAUUCCGAGACAUGGACCCGGGGUUUGGUUUAGCUAAUUUCGGGAUUAUUGAUGUAAUUUGAUUAUUUUCAUGUGGACUUUGUUCCUUUAGCUUAUAUUGAUGGCAUGAAUCUGGUUUUGGUUAGAUUCGGAGCAUUUGGAGGCCGAUUCGAGAGGCAUGAAUCUCAGCCGUAUUUACUCUGUUUUUCUACUUUAAAUGAUAUUUUGGGCUGAGCAUCCUAUUUUACUGUUAUCAUACUUCCUUUUCCCAAAGGGGGGAUAGGGAGUUUUUCAAAAAAUGUCACACCUCCUUUUUACCCGAAAGGAAUAUAAGGGAGUUUUCCAAUUUAAGUGACAUAAUCAAAAUAGGAUUAUUUUAUUGAUUACAGAGUCGUCACUUGAAUAUUUAUGGUAUGCCAAGUCAUUUAUUUAUUUUAAUUCCCAAAUCGAGGAAAUUGACUCUAUUUUUGGUUUGCGAACAGAGAAGACCGAGUAAGGAAUUCUGUCAACCGGGGAGAAGGUGUAAGGCAUUCUCGGGUUCUGUGGUUUUAGCACGGUAGCUCAACUAUUAAUAAUUGGCAUAAUUACCUGAUUUAUUACAUAUUUAAAACCUAAUGUGUAUUUUUAUCUUUUUAACCUCUUUUAAUUAUUUAACCAUUUUUUUAGGAUUUAUGAAAUUUAUUUGAACGAGUUGCGAUGUCGUACGCUCGUUGUUUUUGUACAUAUUGUGAAUCGCGUCACAUGAAUUGCAUCCGCGAUUUACAACAUGUUUAUUUUAUUAUUAUUCAAAAUUAUGAUCGGGUCACAUGAAAUGCACACCCGAAUUAAGAUUUACCUAUCGUGACCAUGUCACUGGAACCGUACCCAUAGCCACGAUAAUUUAUUAAUCGCGCCUAAAGCAAGCUACGAUGUUCAUGAAUAUUAACGACCUAAGCAUGCUCCUAACGGACAAUGUAAUAAAAGUAAAAUAAAUAGAACUAAUAGAAAAAUAAAACAAAUUUCAUUUUUAUUCCCUUUUAAAUUUCUUAUUUCAUGCAUUUAACCAAGCCCAAUCCUAAGCAUGUAGACAGUUUAAUAGCUAAUGGCGGCUCGAUCUUUUACCUCCCAUGACUCAACAGGCAAUUCAUUUCAUAUAUACAAACAACGAGUAAAGGAUAGACGGGAACGUGUUCAAAAUACUUAAAGAAAAUUGGAGCUAAGAAAUGUAGAAAAAGUACAAAAAUGAUUUUUCUUAAAAAAACUAUCAGAAGAGCCGCUCAAAGAGUUAGAAGUUUGGCCUGUAAAGCUAUAAAACUGACAUGAAAAUCACAUAUGGAGAAAGGAACACCAAAUAAUUAUAUGUACAGUAUAAAACUGAAACAAACAUCAAAUAUGGGAAAAAGGAACGUCGAACAUAGAAAAAAAGCUUCAGCAUAUUACUUAAAGUCUUUCCAAAAGUCUUUACGCAAACAACUAUUCACGGGGUCCAUGUAGCAACUUUUAAAAUAAAUAGAAUAUGGAAGACUGUGUAGGCCUAUGUUAUCAUUCCAAACAAGAACUAUCAAACAAACAGAGUUAAUCCAAGCACAUUUAAAAUUCUCGUUCCGCAACCCAUUUCUAAACUUAUUCCUUUGCUAAAUCAAUUUACCUUUCUCUUUCACAGGUCGACAAAGAUUUGUGAAACAUGGAUUCAACAAUGUACACUUAAAUAUUCAAUCAAAAAUUAAUCAACUCAAAUAGAUCUCUAAAAUAAAAUCGCAAGUCAUUCUCAUGAUAAUGAUAAAAGCAUGUUAGAAAAGACAGGUAGAUCACCCACAUAACACAACUUCAAUUAAGUAAAGAACAGAGAACAAAGUGAACCUUAAGUGGAAGCCAAAAUACUCUUUAAAAUUUGAUUAAUAAUGAAUCGAUUUCCUUUGAAUAUAGCAAAAUCAAACUCUGACGUUCAAAGGCGACCCCAAAUGGACCUCUCCUUGGCCAGAAAUUGAACCCGAAUCAGUUUUGAAGGGCUGAAGCUCUGAGCUCUCUGAACUCUUGCCAAAAUGGUAGUAAAAAUGAGUUAUGCCUCUUUGUGUUAACGAUGGAGCACGACUGAUUUUUGGGGAUGAGCAAUGGUGGUUUCCGACGCUAGUUUGGUCUUGGAUGAAGAUGAAAAGGGUCGUCUCUAGAUGCUGCCCUUUUUUGUAGUGAAGAAGAAGAAGUCCAGGGGGUGGGCGAUGGGGUCAGCAGCUGCGGAUGUUGGUGUUCUCCGGUGGGUAAUCGGCUGCUGUUAAACGGCGAUAGGCUGGUUUGAUGGGGGAGAAGGCGUUAGGGUGUGCUACUAGUUUUGGGUCUGUAAGGAUCAGAUCCGGGUGUUCUCCUAAUCUAGGGUUCUCUUUUUUUAAGAAGAAGGGUCUUAGGUUAUGGAAAUGUGGUGUAAUGCGCUAAGAAGGGUAUGGGCCAAGGGCAUCAACCGAAAUGGGCCUCAAAAUUGGAUUAUUUUAGCCCAAAUCUGAUUCUUUCUCACUGAAAAAGAAUAAAAAUACUACUUCAUUUACUAAUUAAUCCUAUUUAUGUAAAAUAACUAUUAAAAUAAAACUAACUGUUAAAAUAAAUCUAUUUUUGGUAUUUUUCAAAUAAUAUACUAAAAUUAUUGCAAAAUUAAAAUAAUAUUCCUACCAAACUACUAAUAUUUCUGAAAACAAAGUGGAACUAUUUUUGUAUUUUUGAAUUUUAUGAAAGGUAAAUAAACUAAAAGUAACAAGAUAAAAUAUCAAUUACCUAAAUAAAAGAAAUUAUUUUUGUAAUUUUUAUUUUUGUGACAAAAUAAGGCAAAAGAGUCAAAACUAGUUGAAAUAGCGACAUUAUGCUUAAACUAAAUAUGUAAAUGAUAAAAUAUGUGAAAUUUUAGGGAGGGUCAAAAAUUACAUGUCUAUAGUUGCCCCUCUUUGACUGGAAAUGCGAAGAGUUUUCAGACAAAGAAAGCCGAGACAAGUUUUUUUACCCGACCCUUAUUUAGAGAGACAAAAACUAAGAGAAAAGAGAAUGAGCCCUGGUAUUUGAGCUGCCUACAUAUCCUUAGUUAUAAAUGAAUCAGGCCACGUAUAGUUCAGAAGUGAAUAAGGUGAUGGAGUAUGUGUAGAGGAUGAGAGAGUAGAGUGAGGUUCCGUUCCGUCGAGGUUCCGGUUUGUGGUCCUAUUAUUACAUCAAAAUUAAAAUUAAAAGACUAAUUAAGCCUAUCAGCUACGAGUUACAAGAUUCCUAUUUAUGACUCUUUUGAAGCUUGAUCUUGAGUCUUGGUUGGUUCUUCAUGUGGACUCUGAUCUGAAUCUUGAUACUUGUUAGUUGCAGGUGACGGUUCAUUCCUUUUUCAACUUCUAGGAUCAAGGCGGGACAUGCAAAGCUUGUGACAUCAAUUACGUCUUGAGCAGUCCACAUCUUUUCUCCGCUUCUACACUUUGAGUUCACUUCUUUUUCUUUUUCUUUUUUUUCCUUUUAUUCUUUUUGUGUUUAUUUGGAUUGAGACUUAUUCUUUGGUUAUUUCGGACUGUCGAAUAGCAUUUUUGAGGCGAGCUUCUGCUACUUCUAACUUGAAUCGACCUCUAAAAUGACUUCCCUCGUUUUCUAGGUCAGUGCCUGCUACUACUGCAAAACAGACAAAACAAAAGAAAUUUUUCUGCCCCAGUUUGCACUAGAAAGAUUUGUGAGUGGUUAGCAGACCUAUGAAUCACAUAUGCUAUUGAUAAAGGAUGCAAUUCAAGACUUGGCUAGGAUGUGUGUAUCCUGUGAGUUAAACCAAUAAAAUUUCAACUAGCGAAUGCGUCUGCUAAAAAAACCUGAAUGACCCAGACUAGGAAGUGUGUCUUCUAGAUUUAAGAUUAAGCUUGUGGAAAACUAUAAACCAAGCUUGACUAAAGUAAAAACUAGCCUUGUUCUUCAGGCGGCACCCCUGAUUUCAAGAAAACUAAUGAUUAAUAACUUAAGAAAACUAAAAAUUGACACUUUUUUUCAAAUCUAGACUUCCCUUUUUUUAAAAAAAAAAAUAUUAUCCUAGGAGAAAAUUCAUCAUACUAGGUUUUCUAUCUUAGGAGAAAGAUUUAUUAGACUAGGAUUUUGAUCCUAGGAGAAAGUUUAUCAGACUAGGUCUCUUUUAUCUUCAUUUUUUUGGUAUUUUAGGAGAAAUAUUCAUCACACUAAGAUUUCUAUCAUAAGAGAAAGUUCAUCAGACUAGGUUUUCUUAUUUUAGGAGAAAGAUUCAUCAGACUAAGACGUUUAUCCUAGGAGAAAGAUUCAUCAGAUUAGGUUUUCUUAUCUUAGGAGAAAGAUUCAUUAGACUAAGACAUUUAUCCUAGGACAAAGUUCAUCAGACUAGGUCUUCUAUCUUAGGAGAAAGAUUCAUCACACUAAGAUUUUGAUCCUAGGAGAAAAUUCAUCAGACUAGUUCUCUUUUCUCUUUUUUUUUUGGUAUCUUAGGAGAAAUAUUUAUCAGAUUAAGAUUUCUAUCCUAGGAGAAAGUUCAUCAAACUAGGUUUUCUUAUCUUAGGAGAAAGAUUCUUCAGACUAAGACGUUUAUCCUAGGAGAAGUUCAUUAUACUAGGUCUUCUAUCUUAGGAGAAAGAUUCAUCAGACUAAGAUUUUGAUCCCAGGAGAAAUUUCAUCAAACUAGGUCUUCUAUCUUAGGAGAAAGAUUCAUCAGAAUAAGAUUUUGAUCCUAGCAGAAAAAUUCAUCAGACUAGGUCCUUUUUUUAAUUUUAAGAGAAAGAUUCAUCUGACUAAGAUUUUUUGUAUCCUAGCNNNNNNNNNNNNNNNNNNNNNNNNNCCUUUGUCGGCUCUUUUAUUCUUUUUCUUUUUCUCCUCUUUUUUUGUUUGCUUUAUUUAUAUCUUUUUUCCUCUUUUUUUUUGAACCGUUUUCCUUGCACUGCUUUGUUCCUAUUUCACACAAAGAAAAUUUUGUCAGUUUUGAAAAUGGUGGUCGGUUUGUGGCCUUGAGUCUUGGGUAGCUUGGCUGUGUGCACAUUUACUUUUAGAAAAUUGACUGUAUUAGUAAUUGGCUGCACCGAUAGGAGACUUUGUUUUUGCUUUCAAGGGACCUUUACUUCUUGUAUCAAUCCUGAUUGUUUCUCUCCCAAUGCCAUUGGUGUUUUGUAGCUCAAUCAGCCUUAUCCCGACUGGAGAUCUUUGCUCAGAUGACCUUUUUUGAUAUCUUCAAUGACUUCCUGCUUUUGAAAAAUUGUCUGUCAGAGAGAAUCACAAGUUAUCUUUGCUUGCGCCGAGUAGGCUGGCAAGAAUCUUUUGGGGGACGCCUUUGCAUAAAUCCUCAAGUCAUGUUGAUUGUAACAACUAAGUGUGUUGGCCAAAUUUACUUUGUGCAGCUGAAAAGCUGGUAGCAGAUUCUGAAAUCUUUUCUUGCCUAUUUUGAGAAAGACUGGAUCAGAGUGAAGGGCACAAUGAUGCAAAGAAAUAGUAUUAACAAGAAAUGCUCUUGUCGGGAAGGAAAGAAGGAUGAGUUUUUUUUUCCAAUAACUAGCCUAAUGAUCAUGACAUGCAUUUUGGACUUAAUGGACAAUUAUCAAACUAAUCCAUUCUUCCUUUUUACCAUUCUUAUGACCUUUGAAGCCGGUCUUGUUCGUGUUCAUUCUUUGCAUCAGCUUCACAACUCACUUUCGACUAGUAGUGCCCCGAGGAAUUUUCACCAACAAGUCUCUCUCAUUUAUUUAUCUUUACUUAUUGUCACCUUACAGUGCCCUAUGGGGGUUUUCACUUGUAAGACUCUCUCAUUUUUCUUUUUCUUUCCUUUUUUUUUUUGUGAGCAACUUGACAGUGUUCUAUGUCGUGUGACAACAGUUGUUCAUUCCAUGCUUCUCUUGGCAUUCUUGAAGGCAUAUCAGGAGAUCUUUAUAUGGAUGGUUUUGGAUAGGUUUGGACAGAAGGGUCGGCAUGAAGGCUCAAAGUAGACUCAAAAUGAAGGGUUGUGGACUUACAACUCUUGGAAUCGACUCUUUCAAAAGUGAAAUAAAAUCUCUGCCCCAGUUUUAGAUACUGGGGAUUUUUGGCUUUUUUUUUGAAUUCUUAUUUGGUUAGACCGAAUCAUGAGGCUGCUUACGUAUCCUUUUUUAAGGAAUCAAGUCGAACGUAGUUCAAUCAUCUGACCUAACUACUAUUAUUAUUAUUAUUCAUCUUUCUUUCUUUUUCUUUGUCUUUUUGUCUUUUGUCUUUUUUUGUUGUUUUCAAAACAAGUUACCCUAGCUUCUAUUUUUUGGGGGUAUAGUCCUUUGCCAGUUCUUUUGUUCUUCCUUUUUUUUCGAUUAAACUUUCUAAGAAUUGCACCAGUUUGUACUCUUGGGACAUGGACUUUCUUUUUCUUUUUUUUUCAUUUUUUCAUUUUUUGACUCUUGACUCUAAACUUGAUUCCAAAAGAGGGUGGUCAAAGAAAAUAACACAGGCUCAAAAAGGGUAGCGAAGGAUAUAAAGUGGUUGGAUAGUAGAAAAAGGGCCUCCCAACCUCGACAAUGCUAAUUAUAUUAUCCUUUCGUGAUCACAACAUUGAUAAGCAUGUCCGUCUUCUUGGUGUUUCGUGGCAGAAAGACACUUUCUAUCCAUUAAUGUCAAACUUUCUACCAAGCUUCAAUUGAUUCAAUAUCCUCAAGCCCUAUCUUCACAAUGAUUUGAAGGUGAAUUUUACUCGACCUUAAUUCCAAAGUAUUUCAACUCUUUAUUCAUCCUCAAACGUGUCUUGUUCUCAGUUAUCCAAUUCAAGCUUAAAUCCAUCUUCUAAGAUCUAGCCGAAAAUUCUGCAUGGAUAUCAUGUCAUUAGAACUAGCGGGAAAUGAACUAAGCAUAGAAUGGCACAAAAGGAAAAACUUUAUUUUAUUGAGUAAACAACAAGAAAAACAACCUAAAAUCCGAGUCACAACCCUAAAAUAACUCGGUGAGUGAAAAUAACAACAAAUCAUAUAGACAAGACUCACACGAACAAAUAGAGGGAUAGAAGGAUUUGACUCAAUAAAACAAAUAAAAUCUGGAUCACAACCCUGAAAUAACCUAGAUAAUAGAAAAAACAUCAAAACAAACUACCAAGAUUCCUUCCUAGUGAGGAGAAAAUGACUUUUCAAUUGCUAAACUUGACAUUUAGCCACAAAUUUGCUCAUCAGAAUCAUCAUGGCCUUAUCCAAUUUCAAUCGGCAAGUUCCCGAAAGGAUUUUUAUACUCCAUGUUACUAGGCAUAAUCCCCACAAAGUGUGCAUCAUCAUGUGCAGGUAAACGAUUCUGUGUGAUAUUCUGGGUGUCAAUAUCUUGGAUCACGAUCAGUUUUUCCUGGAUCAUCCUUUCUAUUUCUCUUUUCAAAUCCCGACAACUUUCAACAUUGUGCACCUGGGCAUUGGAAUGGUAUUCACACCUUUUAGAAGGGUCAAAUCUUCUUGCACGUGGGUCCACAUGAUUUGGAGGAAUGUGUGCAAUCAUAUCAUAAUGCUUUAACUUCUUAAAUAAGCUUGCAUAGGACUCUCCUAUUGGUGUAAAAUUAUCUUUCAACCUUUGUUUUCCUCUAUACCCAUGGCUUGGAUGUGGGUAAUAGGGCACUUGAAAAUUUUGUGGAGACUGGAGGAGAUUUACGGUGCUGGUGCUCUCCUUCUGGGGUAUCUUUAUGACUGGACAACAUACUGAGCUGGAGCAACAGAGUGUUGUCGGUUCUGAGGUGGAUAGUAGUGCUCAGGGGAAUCAUCAAAAAAUAGAUGAGGCUGGUCAUACUUUUGAGAUGUUCUCCUAAGACCUCUUCUCGACCCUGAUGUCAUCAUGAUUUCUUCAUCCAUCUCAUUCGUGUCACUAAAAUUACCAGAUUCAAUUUGGAUAGCCUGAGUUGCAGCUUUGAGAGCUGCAUGACUUAUAAUUCUACCUGUCUUAAAGUCAUUCUCUACCAUUUAUCCCAUUUUGAUUGUUUUCGAGAAGGAUUUUCCAACUGCGUACCUCAUGUGUUGAAAGUAAUCUGGCUCUUGAGCCUGAAUGAAGACACUGAUUAGCUCGUGGUCAUCCAUGGGUAGCUUAAUUCUAGCCACUUGCUCUCUCCAUUUAAUGGCAUAUUCCCUGAAACUUUCAGUUGGUUUCUUCUUUAGGUUUGAAAGGGAAUUACGGUCCGGGUCGAUGUCGAUGUUAUAUUGGAACUGUUUGACAAAGUCCUUGGCCAUGUCAUCCCAGACAUGCUAGUGAGAUGUAUUUUGAUCCUUAAAUCAUUCGGAGGCUGCUCCCGUAAGUCUUUCCCCAAAUAAGCCAUCAGAAAUUCUUCCUUUCCUCCUGCAUCUCUUAGUUGAUUGCAAUACCUUUUCAGGUGGAAUAUGGGGUCUCUGUGUCCAUCAUACUUUUCAAAUUUGGGAGUCUCCAAACUAGGUGGCAAGUGGACAUCGGGGAACAUACACAUAUCCUUGAGCGCAAUGCUCUUUUGACCAGCCAACCCUUGCAUGUUUUUCAACCGUUGUUCUAAGCUUUUCACUCUUUGGGUCAUUUCUUCUUGUUCCAUCUUUCGAGCAGGCUUCUCAAUGUUUGCACGAAGAUCAAACAAGUACGAUUGGUACUGCUCUUGCUGGGUAGCAAAUUGUGACUCAUGAGUUUUCCUCUAUACCACCGUCGGUUGUAGGAUAGUGAAGACGAGCAUAACAAUAGUGGUUGUUUGAUUGGUUGUAAAUGGAAAACUUUGAGAGAAUGCAACAGAAGCUCUAGCCGUAGUCGUACAGUUGGGAUAAGAACUGAACCCAGGUGGACAGGACUGAUCAAACAAUGAGACUGGAAUGGAAGUAGUCAAGAUGGGUGUGAAUUUUGGGAAACCAUGAGAAGAAAAGGGCGGUCCUUGGCCAUUAGCCCAUGCUUGACACAUUUCAGUCAUUUGCUGCUUUAGUACCAUAUUUUCCUCAACCACAGUAGACUUUUGUUGAACCAUCUGAACCUGAGUCUCUUGAGCACUAGUAACAGCUUCAAUGUCAGUUGUCUUUGGCAUUUUUCCCUUGGAUCUUGUGAAUUAUGGAUGUGUUUCUGGCUUACCACGAACCGACCACCUCAAACUUUCUUCACAAUUAAAAAUAAACAACAUGUUAGAAUGGUCACUCUUCUCUUCUUUUAUUUUCUUUUCUUUCUUUUCUCUCUUCUUUUUUAAAUCAUUCGAUCAAACCUGAUGUGGGUUGCCUACGUAUCAUGACGCCGCAUGAAUCAGAUCUUUGCAUAGUUCGGGAAGAUUAUGAAUAAAGUUAAUAAACUAACUCUUUUUUUUUUAUUUUGGACUUUUUUCAAAAGAAAGACAUAUAAAGAAGAAAGAAAAUACUUUUUGAUUUCGAUUUUUUUUUUGAAUUUCGAAAGAAAAUCUAUAGAAGAAAAUAAUGAAAUAUUUUUGAUUUUUGGACUUUUAUUUUGAAUUUAUGAAAGAAAGACUUUUAAAGAAAAAAGAAAUUAUUUUUGAAUCUUGAAUUUAUCUUUUAAAUUUUCAAAAGGUGAAUGAAAUAUUUCGGGAUUUUGUGAAGAAAUUAAAAGAAACUAUUUUUGGAUUUUUUUAAAAAUUGGAGUUUAAAAGAAAGACUUUCUAAAGAACGAAGUAAAGGAAAAUAUUUUUGGAUUUUUUAAAAAUUGUGAGCCGGAACCGAUGAGGUUUGCCUACGUAUCACACAUCCGGUGAGAAUCAGACUCGCGUAGUUCGACCAAUUUAGCGGAACAAGGGAAACAUGACUUUUGAAAACAAUCACUUAUUUUCUUUCUCUUUGGUUUUUGAAAAUUUCGGCAGAGUUUCGAAUUACCUACCUCUCACUCUUGAUUUUUUAUUUUUUUUAUUUUCUUUCCCUAUUCAAGAAGCAGGUCAACAUGCAAGCCAAAAUAAAUAAAUGCACAAGUAACACAUAAAAUACAUCAGGAUGGUCUUUUAAAUUAGGUACAGCUGUCCUAGACGGACCCAACCCCUAUGUCGAGUCCCCAAAGUCAAAUGCACGUGAUGCAAACAAACGUACCUACUAGCGAUCCGACAUGAGGAUAUGUUAUUCUAGGUUUAAAACCUGGGUGUAUUGUUCUAGACCUGGCAUACCUGAGCGGAUAGCUCGAGCCGAGGGGGGAGGGAGGAAGCGUACCGAGAAUACAGAAGCUUCACCGACUUUGCAAUUUGUCCGAACCUAGUUCAAAAAAUAGGAUAUGACUCUAACAGAAAAGAAGCCACACGAAGUGCACGGUUCCCAAAUGAUCUAGAAGACUCAGAGAGAAGAGGGCUUCGUAAUAUUUUAUAUAUAGCCCAAGCAAUAUCAAAGCGGUAAAAAGUGGCCUUUAUCACAUUAGGUUUAAACACGUAAAAAUCGGAUAAUAAAUAAAAUCCAACUAUAACAGUUAUUCUAAGCUCAAAUUCUGAACCCUGAACUAGAUGUUUUGGGUUCUUAUCCCCGGUAGAGUCACCAGAGCUGUCACACCUCCUUUUUCCGAAGGGGGGAUAGGGAGUUUUUCCAUGAGUUGUACACCUUCUUUUUACCGGAAAGAGAUAUAAGGGAGUUUUUCCAAUUUAAGUGACAUAAUCGAAAUGAGAUUAUUUUAUUGAUUACAAUGUCGCCACUUGGAAUAUUUAUGGUGUCCCAAGUCACCGAUUUAUUUUAAAUCCCAAAUCAAGUAAAUUGACUCUAUUUUUGGUCCACGAACACAGAAGACCGGGUAAGGAAUUCUGUUAACCGGGGAGAAGGUGUUAGGCAUUCCCAGGUUCUGUGGUUUUAGCACGGUCGCUUAACUAUUAAUAAUUGGCUUAAUUACCUGAUUUAUUACAUAUUUAAAACCAAAUGUGCAUUUUUAACUUUUUAACUGCUUUUAAUUAUUUAACCGCAUAUUUUAGGAUUUAUGAAAUUUAUUUGAACGAGUCACGAUGUCGUGCGCUCGUUGUUUUUGUACAUAUUGUGAAUAGAGCUAUCAAACGGACCAGCCCAGCCCAAGCCUCACAGACUUUUAAAUUUGGAGGGUUAGGAUGGGCCAUCCCGCCACAUGAACGGGCCUUAAAAUGGCCAGCCCAACCCAGCCCUAAGAAGGCCGCAGGCUAGGGAGGGCCAGCCCUUCAAUUUUUUUUAAGAAAAAAGAAUUUUUUUAAAUCCUUAAAUAUUUUUUCGUGACAUAAUCGAUUAAUCAUGUAAAUAACUUCUGUUUGCUUAGAGAAUUUCUUUCCUUUUUCUCAAAUUCAGGGAUUGCUUUAAUAAAUUUAAAUGCUGAGGUUUUUUAAGUUAGGAUUAAUAUCAUUUACUGAUUUCAUCAUUAUAGACCAUAAAAUUUUUAAAAUUCCUGAAAUUUGCUAGUGGUCAAUUAUUUUUUUUAGUGUUUUCAAACGAAAGAAUUACAAGAAAAUACACAUGACUUCACACCAUAAGAAAAAAUGGCCCAUGUUUUUAUGUUUUACCCAACCUAGCCCAUACUGUACAUAUUUUGAAAGCACUAGCAAAUUGAAAACUUGUGUUCUUAUAACCAUUGCUUCUAAAAGUUAUGGAGUUAAAUAUGUGUUCUCACAACCAUUGCUUUCACUCUCUCUUCUUCUUACAUCUUCUACAUAUGCUUCAAAGGGUCGUCCGACAUUGAUUGUUUGUUACCCUGUGUCAUCUAGUUGCAAUGUAAGAAAAUUAAAGAGUUGAAGCCCACCAUUGAAAGCCAUUCAAAGCUUUGCUUUCGAAAAUAAGAUUUUUUGAGUUUCUUAGUUGUUUGGAUUGGGUGUUGUUCCAAUUGAUUGAAAAUAACAAAAGAGGUUCAAAAUUUAAAUUUGAAGUUAUUUGGAGUAGAUUUGAGUUAAAUUUUAGAAAAGACGCAAAGAAGAAGACGGAGUUAGUUUUUUGUAUAAUUAUGUAUAAUAUUGUAUAAUAGUGUAUAUGAGUGUAUAAACACAUUUUAUACAGUAUUAUACAUUUUUAUACACCUUUAUACAGGCAUCCGUAGACGAACUUCUUCCACGAUUUUCAGUUGCAAUUCUUGUUUAAAACCAAUCCAAAUCUCCAUUAAAUGACUUCAAAUUUUAUAUACAACCUCCUUAUACUAUUUCUAACAAGUCUAAAUAACACUCACUCCAAAAUUCUCACAAAAACAAAUUCGAAAUUUAAACCCACAUGUUUGAGCUUGUUAAAAACUUAAUUUUUAUCAUCGAAAUGGAUUUGGUUUGUUGAACUAAUAUUUGAGUCACAGUUACUAAAUCAAAAAUUAACUUAAAAGCUUAAACAAUCUUUUUUAAAAAUUAAAUAGUAAUUUCUAGAACCUAUUGGAGUUGGAUGUUGAAUCUUAGCCUAUUAUUUUUAGGCUAGUUGGUUGUAAAUUAUAAUAUGGGCUAUAAAAUUGAAAAGGAGGAAGCUCAGUUGUUCUUACGUAAAAUUUUUCAUUUUCAAAAAUGAUCUUUUUCUAUACUAAAGAGCUGUCUAAAUAUUAAUAGUAUAUUAAAGUAAUCCAAACUGAUCAUUGGUCACUUAAAGUAAUAUUUUCUUCUGAAAAUUGAUUAUUAUUGCUAAAACUUUUCGAGUUCGUUAUUAAUUAAGCAAAAGAAAAACUAAUUUUGUCAUAUUACAUGCAUGUCAAAAACGUAAAUUCUAGUUGAUAUGGAAGGAUAAAUGAGCAAUCUAGGGUUGGGGAAUGGGGAUUAUAGUUAAUAGUUUGUUUUUAGUUUUUACUUUUUUCAAUAUUAAGUAUUUAAUAGUUAAUUAAUUUGUUAAUUUUUAGCCCAUGGGCCGGCCCAGGACCAGUCAAGCCUCAAGGGCCUGCGGGCUGACUUGGGCCGGGGUUAUAAGCCUCAGUUUUAGAUGGGCUAAAAAAUUCUAGCCCAACCCUACCCAACUAGCGGGCUGGGUUGGGCUGGCCUCACGGGCUAACCCAUUUUGACGGCUCUAAUUGUGAAUCGCGUCACAUGAAGUGCACCCGCAAUUUACGACAUGUUUAUUUUAUUAUUAUUCGAACCUAUGAUCGGGUCACGUGAAAUGCACACCUAAAUUGAGAUUUACGUAUCGUGACCAUGCCACGGGAACCGUACUCAUAGCCACGAUAAUGUAUUAAUCGCGCCUAAAGCAAGCUACGAUGUUUAUGAAUAUUAACAACCUUAGCAUGCUCCUAACGGACAAUAUAAUAAAAGUAAAAUGAAUAGAACUAAUAUAAAAAAUAAAAGAAAUUUCAUGAUCAUUCCCUUUUAUACUUCUUAUUUCAUUCAUUUGGCCAAGCCCAAUCCUAAACAUGUAGACAGUUUAAUAGCUAACGGGCUCGAUCUUUCACCUCUCGCGGCUCAGCAGGCAAUUCAUUUCAUAUAUACAAAUAACGAGUAAAGGAUAGACAGGAACAUGUUCAAAACACUUAAAGAAAAUUGGAGCUAAGAAAUGUAGAAAAAGUACAAAAAUGUUUUUUUUUUUUAAAACUAUUAGAAGAGCCGCUCAAAGUGUUAGAAGUUUGUCCUGUAGAGCUAUAAAACUGACAUGAAAAUCACAUAUGGAGAAAGGAACACCAAAUAAUUAUAAGUACAGUAUAAAACUGAAACGAACAUGAAAUAUGGGAAAAAGGAACAUCAAACAUGGGAAAAAAACUUCAGCAUAUUACUUAAAGUCUUUCAAAAAGUCUUUACACAAACAACUAUUCACGAGGUCCAUGUAGCAACUUUUAAGUUUUUGUUUAAUAGGUAAUUUUCACAACUUAAAAUAAACAAAAUAUUGAAGACCGUGUAGGCCUAUGUCGUCAAGCUUCAUCACAUUCAGCUUGUUAUCAUUCCAAACAAGAACUAUCAAACAAACAGAGUUAAUCCAAGCACAUUUAAAAUUCUCGUCCAACAACUCAGUUUUAAACUCAUUCCUUUGCUAAAUAAAUUUAUCUUUCAAUUUCACGUGUCAACACAGAUUUGUAAAACAAUGUACACUUAUAUAUUCAAUAAAAAAUUAAUCAAAUCUAAUAGAGCUCUAAAAUAAAAUCGCAAGUCAUUUUCAUGAUAAUGAUAAAAGCAUGUUGGGCAAAAGACAUGUAAAUCACCCACAUAAGAAAACUUCAAUUAAGUAGAGAACAGAGAACUGAAUGAACCUCAAGAGGAAGCCAAAAUGCUCUUUGAAAUUUGAUUAAUAAUGAAUCGAUUUCCUUCGAAUAUAGCAAAAUCAAACUCUGACGUUCAAACGUGACCGGAGGGAUGGACGUCAACAAGAACCUUAGAUCAGAACCAGUGAACGAUGACCUCAAACGGACCUCUCCUUGUCCAGAAAUUGAACUCGAAUCAAUUUUGAAGGGCUGAAGCUCUAAGCUCUCUGAACUCUUGCCUAAAUGGUAGUAAAAAUGAGUUUUGCCUCUCGGUGUUAAUGAUGGAGCGUGACUGAUUUUUGGGGCUGAGCAAUGGUGGUUUUGCCGUGCUGGUUUGGUCUUGGAUGAAGAUGAAAAGGGUCGUCUCUGGAUGCUACCCUUUUUUGGAGUGAAGAAGAAGAAGUCCAG
rnacentral:lncRNA from 1 species